rnacentral:rRNA from 1 species
CAGCCGUAAACUAUGCGCGUUAGGUGUACUGGUGACCACGAGUCACCGGGGUGCCGAAGGGAAACCGUGAAACGUGCCGCCUGGGAAGUACGGUCGCAAGGCUGAAACUUAAAGGAAUUGGCGGGGGAGCACCGCAACGGGUGGAGCCUGCGGUUUAAUUGGACUCAACGCCGGAAAUCUCACCGGAUAGGACAGACAUAUGAUAGUCGGGCUGAAGACUCUACUUGAUGAUCUGAGAGGUGGUGCAUGGCGUCAGUGACU